CCUCGAAGGUGAACAUCAGCAGGCUGAGCUCACAGCCCUUGGCUGUACCAGUGCUCAGCCUGAUGGAGCUUGAGAUAUUGCUACCAGCUCGGACUGACUGGGGUCUUUCCAUCAACAUGUUCAAGGUCCAGAUACAGGGAGGGAUGUUAAGUCCCAAUGAAGAUACUUUAGCCACCAGCCUUCGAAGGAUGAUCGUGUUGAAUUCCAAGUUGAAGUCGAUCAAAAACAUCCUGGCAUAUGAGGCAGCAUUUUCGAGGUGGGUCAGUACGGAACAGUGGGCUUGAGGCUAUGGCAUCAGUGAUGGACACAUUUGAGUGGUAUGUAGUUGGAAGAGGAAGCUGGAAGAUGGGAUUUUACAUGAUUCAUUACGAGCUGCUCAAAGCACUUUGUGAUUGUUGAGCUCAGUGCCAUCGGUAAUUCUUUAGGCCAGUUACCAUUGCUCUCUUGGUUGCUGGAAUUAUGGAGGCUGCCUUGAAGCCUGCAGGGACAGUGGACUGUUGCAAAGGGUUGUUAAAAAUGUCUAUUAAGAGCCCUUGUAACUGGACCGUACAGUCUCUCAGUACCUGACCGGGUAUGUUGUCCAACAUCGCAGCUUUGCAUGGGUUUACGCUGGCUUAUGUUCUCCUGGCAUCAUUUAAUUCAUCAUAUGGCUUCAGGGAGUGAAGGUCCCAGAGUCUAAUCCUGAGUGUUGCAGAAUUCACAUAAAAUCUUCUGUCUACCGCUGAGUUCAGUAACUUUCUCAGCUUGAUCUCUCUUGUGAAGGUGACUGUGAGAUUGUGGCAGAUGAUGGUGUGGAUUGGAUGGAGCUAAACCCAUUUUACUUUCUUCCUCUUCAAGGCAACUUGCUUUGGAUCACCUGGAAGUAAAAGUUUUGUAAAACUUUUAUACUGUGAGGCAACUACUGUGAUACCAAACGCGCACUACCUGAAAAUGCAAGAGCAUGAUUCUCGGGAGGUUCAAUGAAUUUGUGAACCACAGUACAGAUAAAAUGCAGAUUAUCUGGAAGAACUUGGAGUCACCUCUAAUUAUCCAUCUCCAGCAGGUUCAGUUCAAUAAGGGCUAUCAAGGCUCCUUUCUCAUGAGAUGUUAGUAGACAAAACAUGAAAAUGAUUGGCAAAACAACCAAUGGGGAAUAUAUUGUUUAAUACGGCGAAUAGUUGAAGUCGAGAAUGGCAAAGUUUGUACUGGGGGCUGAUUUAAAUACAGCAUUCAAAAAGAUUAAUGUGAAGCAUUUUAAAGUCAGUGAGUAAAAGGAGAAGGUGGGUCACUCAUGCAUAAAAUUGAUAAGACCUGAUGGGCUGAGUGGCCAUUUGUUUUAUUGUUCUUUUCCAUGCCUUUUGGUGCAUCAGGCAGCAACCUUGUUAUCUCCUUAGCAUUUUUGUCUUUUUUUAUGAGGCGGAGUUGCCACCUCAACACUCAACCCAGCACAGAUGGAAAGUGAGCCAGGAACCAGCUGAAUUUGAACCUGGGAUCACUUGCCUUAAAGUCCAGUGUGGACGCCUCUACACCGCUGGCUGGCUGAAAUGGCCAUGUGAAUCUCUAAUACUACCUUUGUUCAGGGAAACUUUAUCUGUGUCACGAAAAUCCCAAAUAAGCCUAUUUCUCCUGAUCUGUAACAUGGAUGUUCAGAACAGGAUUCAAAUUACACAGUCAUUAUCUUGGAGAUAAUCUUCUUUGCCACCCAAUUUGCAACCACCCCUUCUACUUUUAUCUUCCAUUCACCUCAAUUUUUAGCCACUCAAAACCCAAUAUCCAUAACCUUUUCCAACUCUUCUUUUAUGGUACCUCCUAUCUUCAACCCUCAUCUGUCUCAGGUGCAGAAGAUGGAAUCCGUAUGGCUUGCUUCUCCCUCCCACCUUUUAUCUACUCGCCCAUGGCACCCGACUCGGGCUCAGUUGUGCCUCACUUGAGCAGCAUGCGGCCUUUCAGUUCCAUGAAGUGGCCAAUGUAUUUGCCCUUUUUUUUUGGCAGGGGAAGAUUCAAACUGAAGAGGAAUUAGGAAAAUGUGCAAUUUUGUUGCAGGGUACUAAUGACUGAUUGAGUACGUAUAGCUAUUUCCUCUCACUCUGAUAAUAUCUGAAAUCUUCCUUCUGGCUUUUCCCUGUGUGGGGAAAGUUGCUCUCUCCCCAAUUGUGUUGCUGCAGAGUGGCAUCUGGGAGCGGAUCAGCUCCCUGUUACCCAUAGUUACUGGGCUGGACAGGGUGACUGGGGAAAAAUGGGAGAUAAAAUAACUUGUAAGCGAGCAGUUCAUACCUUUACAAAAAAAAAUAAAGUCACUGACUAAAUGAGAGUUUAGAAGGAACUUUUCAUGGAGAAUUGUUUAUUUAGGUAAUAAACCGGCACCUUGGAGAACGAACACUGAGUCUACAGAGUCUUUCAAAAAGGAACUGCAUGUGUUUUUGUUAGAUGAUUUAAAACUUAAACUUAAAGCAGACUGGUAGUAGAAAAGGUUAUGGUGUGGGAUGAGAGAACAAGAGAAUAAUGGAAGAGUUUCACCACAGAUCUGUCGGAAAUAAUGAGCUCAAUGGAAAUGGAAAAUGCUGGCAAUGCACAGCAGGGAAGCAAGCACCUGAAAGGAGAAGUGAUAGUUUAAAGUUUCAGUGCAAAAUAUUCCCUGAGACUGCGUUAGGAGGAAAAGUGAGAGCUUUGUGAUCGAACAGAAAGAGGGGGAGGCUGGAGGACACUGAACAGUGAGGAUCCAGUAGUAAGGAGAAGAAUUAAUGGGUUUAAUAGGAUUCAGUGAGCUUUGUAAAUUUUGUGCUAUUAAUGCAGAAUAUUCAGUUUUCAACAAUUAGUCAUAUUUAAGAUCCUAUAUUAACCUGAGGCACUUUUAGCUCAGAUAUGAAUCUCAUAAGUGCCAUACAAUACAGAAGUAGAACUAAUGAUUUUCAUUCUCAUAUCCCAGAGCAGUAAAUUUUAUCGUCUUGUACUAGCUUUCUCUCUCUCUCUCUCUGAGAUUGCCAGCUUUGUGCUGUUUUAUUGCCAGUUUCCUGUUGUCAACACAGUCUUUUGAUGAACUACAAAAGUGGCUCGCUGAAAUCACUUUGCAUACAAACUGUAUGGCCAUGUUUAGCCAAAGAGUCUAGAUUUUAUCCUGACUUUAAAGUCACUGACCUAACGUAGGGUAAUCCCUUUAGUAGAGAGGAGAUGAGUCAGAGGUAGGAUAAAGGGCACAUAUGUAAUCACAUUCCAUUCAAUAUCGCCGUACAUUCAUCUAGAUCAGGGAUUCCUAACCUGGGGUCCACAAGCUCCUUGGAUAACGGGAAGGCUCCAUGGUAUAAAAAAGGUUAGAAACCCCUGGUCAAGAUCAAUCUGUUUUAAUUGUAAUACCCUGACAGGAAUUUCAGAAAUAUUUUUGAUUUUAUUCUCUUUGUUUGGCUGUUUCACAGUGGAUCAGUAAUAUCAAUAAAUAUUUGUGAUUUUCUGCUUAGCAACUACUCUUCUUUUUGCUUCAUUCAUCUGGUUCCUUAUAGUCAAGGGUGGUAGUGGGGUUAAGCCUCCACUGCCUAUUAAAUACGUCCAGUGGUGUGUAUCUCAAAACCAAGUCGCACCCCUAGCCUUCACUAAGCUUGGCAGAACAGUUUCUACUGACAGGAGAAGAGGCAAAGUCAGGUUACUGGCACCUUAAAACAAGUCACUUAUGGCAGAUGGGGCUUGGCAGCUCAUCUAGGAGAAGGAAAGCUCUGAUCUCAAAGCUCCACUGCCUCGUGACUCUGUCCACUUAGGGGAAAGGCUUCGGGAGUAAACUGAGGGAAAAAUCCAGAGCUGGAGUCCCUAAGGCCGUCCUAUGUUGAGUUCAAUGCAGACAGGCAACUCUGGUGUUGGUGCCACACUGUUGGAUUCAUCAGCUUCGUGAAGAGGGAGGGCCUGUUACAUGACAACAGCUUGCUCAUAUCAUACUGCCCUUGCUUGUGUACCAUGUAGACAGCUGGGAUGCAAGGUCCAGGGAUGCCCCCAACCAUCAGAGGGGCUGUCUGAAGCUGCACUAAACACUUAAUGGAGCGGUGAAUUGCUGGUUCAAGGCCUGUGCCAACCAUGGGUCCUUUACAUAGAGGACUGAAGGAAUGCUCAAUUCCUUAAAUAGUUCAGAGGUGCAAUAGGUCCCAUAACACUUUUCACUGAAUCCAUUCCCCUCAUUUCAAAACGUAAUGCUUCAUAUGUGAAGCACGAGAAAAGACUUGAAAAGUAUAACUAGAAUCAUAGAAAAUUACAGAUUUACAGCACAGGAAGAAACCAUUUAGUGCACUGUCCUCAUGCCAGCUGAAAAUGGAUUUCAGGUUUGUCACAUUUUCCAGAUUUUGUUAACAAUUGUUCACCCAGGUCCAGUGUAAGUAUGGCAAGAUUUUCUGAGAGCAUUGGAGAUUGAUUAAAUAAAACACUUGCUCUUUAAUUUUAAUAUUAUUCUUUGACUGGGUUUACAGUUUCACAAUCAAUGCCAGGGUUACUUCUUGGAAAUCGGGACCGUAAUAGGUAUAGGAUUCCAUCAUGGAUUUGGACUAUAAUCUUAGUGUCCCAUCCUCUGUGAUUUGUAAGAUGACUGAAAAUCGAUCCUGCCAAUGAAAAAUAUUAUGAUUAAAUAAUUCAUUUACAGACUAUUGAAUUAAGGCUGAAUUUAAAAUUGAGCUUCUCUACACUAAAAGUAACACAGACACAAAAUCAUGGAGAACCUCUCGAUGGAGGAUCGAUGGAAGUAAAUAGAUAGUCAACAUUUCACGCCGUCCAUUCUUCAAGAAGCAUGAGUGUCAGUAUAGAAUCUGUUCUUUAUUCUAACAUUCUUCUAAUGUAGUUGUAUUUUACAUGACCUCAUUAAAGUAAAUUGAGAAGACAAAUUAAUGUAGAUACAAAAGUGAUUGCAGCACUAACAUAGAUGGAGUUUUGGCAGAUGGAUAUAGCUCACCAAUGAGUCCUUUCAUGUUUCAUCAGAAAAGUAUAACAAGAUAAUCAAAAUCUUCAAGAGCACACAGAUUGUCCUGUGAGAAGUUUGCUUCACUUUCUUUUAGUGGCACAUAAGGCAACCACAGUCUAGCUGAGAAUUCAGUUGUAACAUUGCCAGGAUGAAAAAAAAAUCAUCGAAAUCAGAGGAAAAUUGUAUGGAAACAUUUACAAACACUGAGUUAAUAGAAAACGGUGUUUUCUUCAGCAAUUUGCCUGGGCCUAAAGGUCAUUAUGAUCUUAACAGCCCCGUACACUGACACAAUCAUGCCCUUCAUUAUUCCUAUGGGGCACAUGGGACUUUCCUUACAGUAAAAUCUAGUCCAAGAAGGUAAAACAGCAACACAGGAACAAUUUAGAAACUAGCUGGAAAAUGCCCAAAGCCACAAUGGAAUCAGUGCAUAUGGAGCAAACAAACUUUAAAACAAAGGUAUUCAGAUUGUGGUCAUUGAGUCAUUUAGAAGCAGGCGGGUGAAUGAACUGAGCAAUACCAAAUGUAUUGUCUGCAAUCAGUCAUGCUGAAGAACUAAGCUUCAACUGUGCAAUCUCAGUGAAAUGUAUUUUGAAACCCCAAACACUGAUGUCAAAAUAUGAAUUUCCUAAACGUAGAACUGGGAAAGCAUAAAUGUUUCCACAUGCGUACUUUGGCAAGAGGAGGGUCUUUCAUGGCCCUAGGAAAAUAAAAAAUGUUUAAUACGUAGCCAUUACGAUGAAUGUGAUCCUUGACUGUUGCAAAGCAUCUACAGGUAAAUCAAGGGAAAUUGAAGCCAAAAUUUUCCCCUCCAACAGGUUAUAUCACAAACAAAUGCAUUUAGAUUUUCCCUGAAAUCUCUGACAUCUCUCAGAGUAAUUGCUUCUUGAAAUACCAGAAAAGUAAUGUAGUCUUCCAUUACAUCAUUUAAUUGGAUGGAGUGGAAGGUAUAUUCAUUUAUAUCAAUUACUUUAAACAUAUCUGGUCUCUUUCCUUUAACACAGUGUGCUGGCAGGUUUAGGAUAUUGCUGGCUUUACAUGGCAGGCUGACUUGGUUUCUCUUUGGGUGAAUUAGGGCAUUGAGGAGGAAGCUGAAGAUGGAUAUGAUAAAGGAUAUCUCAGGUAGGUGGCUCCAAAGAGCUGAAGAUUGAGGACUCUGAGUCUUCCAGUAGAUGGGUUCAAAAGGCUGGCACACAGCAGAAUUAUUUGGAACAGUGGAGGGUGUGAGUGGCAAUGCAAGACCACGGUUAAUUAAUGUGGCUGAGUGGACCAUUAGUAGGAGGGAUUUGAAGGUAAUUUUGAAAAAUGGUGCUUUCUAGAAGUGCAGUUCUCUGAUCUGGUAAACAGCAUUAGUGACUUUAUAUCUUUCACUGCAUUUAUUGAGAGCUCCUUUUGUUGAAACGUUUUAAACUGCACUCACACUUUUUGUUGCUCUGGUGUGUAACUUGCUGCCCUUUGGCAGGGUUGUUCAGUUUGAAUGUGCAGAAAGGAACUGAGCUAACGGCCAGUGGGGUAUUGAGCUUCUGUUCUGUUUCUGGACCUGUCACCAGGUCUGACAGUGGUGUGCUAAUGUGCUGAGAAGGAGGUUGAUUACUCUAUUUAUUUAUUUGUUUAAUCUAUUUUCUCUCUAUCUAUUUAUUUAUGCAACACGUAAAAAUGGUAAUGAGAGCUGCACAUGGCGCCCAAUUACACCCGUGUGACUAAUGAACCUACCGAUCCAUUCACCUUUGGAACGGGGUAGGAAACCAGAGCACCCAGAGGAAUCCCAUACGGUCCCGGCGAGAAUGUACGAUCUCCUUACCCAUAGUGGCAGCACUUCAACUCGGGUUGCUGGUAACCCUUAGCUUUAUGCCAGUGGUGGCUGGCACACAAACAGCAAACCUAUUGGAAAAAGAGAAGGGGAGGAUGUAGAGAAUAAAAAGACCCUCUGUAAUAGGGUGGAGACCAAGAGAGGCCAGCUGGCUCAAGUGGCAGAGGUGCCAGCUGAGGAGAAGCGCUGAAACCCAUAAAACACAGACAAUCUAUUUGGAAGAAGAAGAAAGGUUCAAAACUGAAAAGGGGCGCAAAGAUCAAUCAGGGCUCUAGGAUUCACACCAGACCGGGAAUACAGCUGGAUACCAGGAUUAUGCAUUAGAGCUGUCUUCCCCAACAUAGGUGGAUGAAAAAGAUCCCACAGGAUUUUUUUGGAGCACAAAGGUGUACUUCCUGGUGACUUCUUCAAAUAGCAAUAUUAAAGUGCUACUGGACCUGAUGAACGUUUUCAGAAGUUUCCAGUUUUAUUUCACAUUCCCAGUGAAAUGCUCUGGCUCCAUUGGCUGUGUAAAUCUAGGGAGGGCAAUCUCUGGUCUCACCAAACAUGCGAGCCUACCCCGAAACCCCCUGUUUGUGUGGAUGCCACGUGAUGUGUCACCCUGUUACAAAUCAGUACCAUGAAAUAACAGACAGUACACCGCAUGCAAUUAAAUGAUUUAGCUUUGUAAUUCUUAAUUUGACUAAAGGGUUAGCAAAGAAAAAGCAAGACAAAAGAAAAGGGCCCAUUUUAAUGAAACAGUCUAAUGUGCACAAGUUUUCCCUUUGACGAUCCUUCUUCGAUCUCCCUGGCCUUCGUCGGAUCAUGGCCCCUCUCCGGUUCGAGUCCUAUGACUUCUUCUCUCUGGUGUCUUCUCCCUUCAUAUCCUGCUGAACAAAAGACCCAGAUCACCCCGGUGUCAGGCAACCAACAUGAAAACACACUCCCUUCAAUGGACAGCUCAGAUUCCAAAGCCCCUGUUAUCUCUAACCAUAACCCAAACACUGUUUCUACAGAAAAACCAUUACAUUAGCAGUGAAAUCUUUCCCAGGGUGUUACACCAGGAUUCUUUUGAACUGAUGGAUUAUUCAAUCCUCUCUCAGUAAACUAACAGUGUAUUUCAUUACUAAUUUAUUUCAAAUAUAUAACAAGUUGCUAUUUCAAUCAAAACCAAAGCUUUAAAAUAGGCAUCAAUCUGGCUUCACAAUAUACAACGUAACAAAAACAUUGCACAUCCUAUUUGAUUCUGUCCACUUUACACUAUCACCCCAAUUUAAAAUAUUCCCAGGGCAUAGAACUACUCCACUAAAUAUCAGACAUCCCACCUCUUCCAGAAGUUCCGGGAGUCUCCCGUAUAUUGAUAGCAGGUCCCUGACGCCCACAAAUUAUAUACAAUAUCCCAGAAAUCGAUAUAUUUUUGAGAGCAAGAAAGAGAGAAAGCAAGAAAGAAUGAGAGAGAGAGAGAGAGAGAGAGAGAGAGAGAGAGAGAGAGAGAAAAAAAGGUCACAUAAAAUGCACUUCACCCCAGACUACACUAAAGUGUACCCCUGCCUAAUAGGGAUAAAAAAUAAUGACAGUGUUGCUCGCUGCGCUGUUUGCAACAGUGACUUUUCUAUUGCCCAUGCUGGGUUAAAUCACUGUUGAGGUGAGUUUAACAGGUGCCAUUCGUUCAUUAGCAUAGCUAACAUUAUUUAAACUAGCUGGUUAGCUGCUAAGGAGCUACUCUAUAGCAGUCAUCCCACUUCUCCCAGAAGUUCUGGGAGUCUCCUGCAAAUUGAUGCUGCUACCUCCCUGAAAUGAGUGUUUGCAGGGUGGGAUGUCUGAAAUAUUUUGAUUUCUCUGGAACAACCGGAAAGAAGGUCCAUAUUUAUGGUAUCAGUUCACCUUCAAUUAGCUCACCUUGACCCUUUGAAUACCCGGCCAUGAUUUUGAUCGACUGCACUGUCAGCUUGCCUUGUAAUAUAGCUUGCAGAUUCUGCACCUCAUCUCCCCCCACCCCCAGCAGUCAGACGCCAAGCUAACUCCACACUGGUGGCAUUAGAGCCACUGCCAAGUUUAGAAGCAUCACUGAAUUUGAGAAAUAGAAAGAAUCAGUGGCCUUCAGCUGGGUUCAAGUAGAAAAAUCGAUGACUGAGGUUUGUUAUUUUCAUGGGAAUAAGGUGGAAGUCACUGAAUGGAAUUAAAACCCAGCUUAAAGGCUUGGAAUCCCCUGUAAUAAAAUGUGGAAUUUGACUUGUUUAGUUACCAUAAAACAUUGGCGCUGCUGUCUGUACUUGAGUUGCUGAAAUACAAAUACAAACCAGCUGGGCUAUCAGUGACACUGAGUAAGUCUGCAGUAAUGUCUGGCUCACAGUGACUGGGCUCCGAUUACAGUUGGACUUUCUAGAAUUUAAUUUGGGUGAUAAUCCACAUUUAUUUCAGCCAUUUUAGGUUGAGUAAUUUUGGGUUUGUUCCAACAGAAUGCAUAAAAAGUGACCAUAAAAGGUAAAAGGGACCUAUCUGCACAUCAGGUCCACAGCAGAUACCAUUUUAUUGGCUCUUCUCUCAACCCUGGAACACCUGGAUGCCAAAGGUGCAUACAAUAGAAUGGCCUUUAUCGACUACAGCUCAGCAUUCAAUACUAUCAACUCCUCAAAUCUAAUCAAUAAGCUUCAAGACCUUUGCCUCAAGCCCUCCUUGUGUACUUAAAUCCUCAAUUUCCUCACUUGCAGACCCCAGUCAGUUCAGACUGGCAACAACAUCUCCUCCACAAUCCCCACCAGCGCAGGUGCACCACAAGGCUGUGUGCUUAGCCCCCUGCUCUACUCACUUUACACUUACGACUGUGUGGAUAGUCACAGCCCCAAUGCAAUAUUUGGUUUGCUGGCGACACCAUCAUCAUUGACUGAUCCAAAGGUGGUGACGUAUCAGCACAUGGGAGGGAGAUUGAAAAUAUGGCUGAGUGGUACCAUAGCAACAACCUAUCACUUAAUGUAGCAAAACCAAAGGGCUGAUUAUUGACUUCAGCAAGAGAAAACCAAGGUCCAUGAGCAAGGCCUCAGAGAGAGAUCAAAGGUGGAGAGAAUCAGCAACUUUAAAUUCCUUAGUGUUACCAUUUCAGAGGACCCAGCACUUAAGUUCAAUUAUGAAGACAGCGCGGCAGCGCCUCUACUUCCUUAGAAAUUUGUGAAGAUUCAGCAUGAUGACUAAUACUUCGACAAACUUGGUUUCCAAAGAUGAGUGAUGGAAACUAUAUUGACUAGUUGCAUCACAGUUUGGUAUAGAAAACAACAAUGCCACCAAACAGAAAAUCGCACAAAAAGAGUUAGAUAAGGUCCCAGUUCAUCACGAGUAAAACCCUCCCCAUCAUUGAGUACGUUGAUACAAAACAUUGUUGCAGGAAAGCAGCAUCCCUCAUCAGGGACCCAACAAUGCAGGACAUGCUCUCUUCUUGCUAAUGCCAUCAGGAAGAAGGUACAGGAGCCUCAGGAUUUAUCCUAGUAGGUAUAGGAACAGAUACUACCCUUCAACCGUAAUACUCUUGAACCAGAACAGAUAAUUUUGUUUAUCUUCACUUGUCAUCAUGAACUGUUCCCACAACAUACGGACUUGCUUUCAAGGACUCUUCAUCUCAAGUUCUCCAUAUUUAUUGCUUGCUUAUCUGUCUAUUAUUAUAUUUUUUCUCUUCAGUAUUUGCACGGUUUGUUGUCUUUUGAACAUUGGCUGUUAGUCCGCCCUGUUGGAUACAGUUUUUCAUUGAUUUUAUUAUGGUUCUUGGAUUAACCAAGACUGCUUGCAAGGAAACCGAUCUCAAGGUUGCAUAUGGUCUCAUGUGUACUUUGAUAAUAAAUUUACUUUGAA